GCUCAGCCCUGCCUCGGCAGUUUUGAGUCUUUUGACGGUCACCACCACCGCCACUUCACCACCAGCAACAGCACCACCUGCCUCAGCCAUUCCUCCCCCACUCUCAGCCGUUGUGCGGUUACUACGCGCCUCCUCUCGUCCUUCAGGCUUCGCUCGACAAGGUCCGAACCCUAUUCAUUGCUGGGCUUCCUGAUGAUGUCAAGCCCCCGGGAAAUCUAUAAUUUGUUUCUUGAGUUUCCGGGUUACGAGUCUUCGCAUCUUCGGACUCCGACCCAAACUUCUCAGCCAUUUGCAUUUGCUGUUUUCUCAAAUCAGCAGUCUGCUAUAGUGGUUAUGCACACUCUGACUGCCUUAAGCUUGUGGGCCAAAAUGAAGCAUGGGGAGCCUUGACGGUGAUGAGAAUACCACCAUUGCCUGACCAUAUGAACAUAGCCCUAAGAGGUAAACAUAUAUUUUUGAGAGAGAUGAUAUUUGCAGUCGUGGAGUGUGUAAGCGCCGUGCAAUCUCUUUGAAAAAAGUGAGUAAAUAUGAGACCCACAUGAAAAAAAACUAAUUUUUUAAUAGUGAACCUCACUCUUUUUCAAAGCGAUUGUGCGGUGGUUUCGCACUCUACGAAUGUAUGUAGCAUUACUUCUAUUUUUGAACUUGAAACAACAUCUACCACCUUAGAAUCCAGAAGAAUGGGAAAAUGAUCUAACUCUAGUCGAGGUAGUCCCGUUUGACUCAUUUGGAAAUUGAGCUUCCCACUC